UACGGGGGGGGCAAGCGUUGUCCGGAAUUAUUGGGCGUAAAGAGCUCGUAGGCGGUGUGUCGCGUCGGCCGUGAAAACCUGCAGCUUAACUGUGGGCUUGCGGUCGAUACGGGCAUCACUGGAGUUCGGCAGGGGAGACUGGAAUUCCUGGUGUAGCGGUGAAAUGCGCAGAUAUCAGGAGGAACACCGGUGGCGAAGGCGGCAUCCUGGACCGGCAUUGACGCUGAGGAGCGAAAGCUAGGGGAGCAAACGGG
rnacentral:rRNA from 1 species